UACGGAGGAUGCGAGCGUUAUCCGGAUUUAUUGGGUUUAAAGGGUGCGCAGGCGGCCUGUUAAGUCAGCGGUAAAAGCCCGGGGCUCAACCCCGGCGAGCCGUUGAAACUGGCGGGCUGGAGUUGGAGAGAAGUACGCGGAAUGCGCGGUGUAGCGGUGAAAUGCUUAGAUAUCGCGCAGAACCCCGAUUGCGAAGGCAAGUGUCCGGGGUGCAACUGACGCUGAGGCUCGAAAGUGCGGGUAUCAAACAGG
rnacentral:rRNA from 1 species